GAUGAACGCUGGCGGCGUGCUUAACACAUGCAAGUCGAACGAAGCACUUUAUUUGAUUUCCUUCGGGACUGAUUAUUUUGUGACUGAGUGGCGGACGGGUGAGUAACGCGUGGGUAACCUGCCUUGUACAGGGGGAUAACAGUUGGAAACGGCUGCUAAUACCGCAUAAGCGCACAGCAUCGCAUGAUGCAUUGUGAAAAACUCCGGUGGUAUAAGAUGGACCCGCGUUGGAUUAGCUAGUUGGUGAGGUAACGGCCCACCAAGGCGACGAUCCAUAGCCGACAUGAGAGGGUGACCGGCCACAUUGGGACUGAGACACGGCCCAAACUCCUACGGGAGGCAGCAGUGGGGAAUAUUGCACAAUGGGCGAAAGCCUGAUGCAGCGACGCCGCGUGAGCGAAGAAGUAUUUCGGUAUGUAAAGCUCUAUCAGCAGGGAAGAUAAUGACGGUACCUGACGAAGAAGCACCGGCUAAAUACGUG
rnacentral:rRNA from 1 species